UGAGCUCGAUGAGUAGGGCGGGACACGUGGUAUCCUGUCUGAAUAUGGGGGGACCAUCCUCCAAGGCUAAAUACUCCUGACUGACCGAUAGUGAACCAGUACCGUGAGGGAAAGGCGAAAAGAACCCCGGCGAGGGGAGUGAAAAAGAACCUGAAACCGUGUACGUACAAGCAGUGGGAGCACAGAGCAAUCUGUGUGACUGCGUACCUUUUGUAUAAUGGGUCAGCGACUUAUAUUCUGUAGCAAGGUUAACCGAAUAGGGGAGCCGAAGGGAAACCGAGUCUUAACUGGGCGUUAAGUUGCAGGGUAUAGACCCGAAACCCGGUGAUCUAGCCAUGGGCAGGUUGAAGGUUGGGUAACACUAACUGGAGGACCGAACCGACUAAUGUUGAAAAAUUAGCGGAUGACUUGUGGCUGGGGGUGAAAGGCCAAUCAAACCGGGAGAUAGCUGGUUCUCCCCGAAAGCUAUUUAGGUAGCGCCUCGUGAAUUCAUCUCCGGGGGUAGAGCACUGUUUCGGCAAGGGGGUCAUCCCGACUUACCAACCCGAUGCAAACUGCGAAUACCGGAGAAUGUUAUCACGGGAGACACACGGCGGGUGCUAACGUCCGUCGUGAAGAGGGAAACAACCCAGACCGCCAGCUAAGGUCCCAAAGUCAUGGUUAAGUGGGAAACGAUGUGGGAAGGCCCAGACAGCCAGGAUGUUGGCUUAGAAGCAGCCAUCAUUUAAAGAAAGCGUAAUAGCUCACUGGUCGAGUCGGCCUGCGCGGAAGAUGUAACGGGGCUAAACCAUGCACCGAAGCUGCGGCAGCGACGCUGAUGCGUUGUUGGGUAGGGGAGCGUUCUGUAAGCCUGUGAAGGUGUGCUGUGAGGCAUGCUGGAGGUAUCAGAAGUGCGAAUGCUGACAUAAGUAACGAUAAAGCGGGUGAAAAGCCCGCUCGCCGGAAGACCAAGGGUUCCUGUCCAACGUUAAUCGGGGCAGGGUGAGUCGACCCCUAAGGCGAGGCCGAAAGGCGUAGUCGAUGGGAAACAGGUUAAUAUUCCUGUACUUGGUGUUACUGCGAAGGGGGGACGGAGAAGGCUAUGUUGGCCGGGCGACGGUUGUCCCGGUUUAAGCGUGUAGGCUGGUUUUCCAGGCAAAUCCGGAAAACUAAGGCUGAGGCGUGAUGACGAGGCACUACGGUGCUGAAGCAACAAAUGCCCUGCUUCCAGGAAAAGCCUCUAAGCAUCAGGUAACAUCAAAUCGUACCCCAAACCGACACAGGUGGUCAGGUAGAGAAUACCAAGGCGCUUGAGAGAACUCGGGUGAAGGAACUAGGCAAAAUGGUGCCGUAACUUCGGGAGAAGGCACGCUGAUAUGUAGGUGAAGUCCCUCGCGGAUGGAGCUGAAAUCAGUCGAAGAUACCAGCUGGCUGCAACUGUUUAUUAAAAACACAGCACUGUGCAAACACGAAAGUGGACGUAUACGGUGUGACGCCUGCCCGGUGCCGGAAGGUUAAUUGAUGGGGUCAGCGCAAGCGAAGCUCUUGAUCGAAGCCCCGGUAAACGGCGGCCGUAACUAUAACGGUCCUAAGGUAGCGAAAUUCCUUGUCGGGUAAGUUCCGACCUGCACGAAUGGCGUAAUGAUGGCCAGGCUGUCUCCACCCGAGACUCAGUGAAAUUGAACUCGCUGUGAAGAUGCAGUGUACCCGCGGCAAGACGGAAAGACCCCGUGAACCUUUACUAUAGCUUGACACUGAACAUUGAGCCUUGAUGUGUAGGAUAGGUGGGAGGCUUUGAAGUGUGGACGCCAGUCUGCAUGGAGCCGACCUUGAAAUACCACCCUUUAAUGUUUGAUGUUCUAACGUUGACCCGUAAUCCGGGUUGCGGACAGUGUCUGGUGGGUAGUUUGACUGGGGCGGUCUCCUCCUAAAGAGUAACGGAGGAGCACGAAGGUUGGCUAAUCCUGGUCGGACAUCAGGAGGUUAGUGCAAUGGCAUAAGCCAGCUUGACUGCGAGCGUGACGGCGCGAGCAGGUGCGAAAGCAGGUCAUAGUGAUCCGGUGGUUCUGAAUGGAAGGGCCAUCGCUCAACGGAUAAAAGGUACUCCGGGGAUAACAGGCUGAUACCGCCCAAGAGUUCAUAUCGACGGCGGUGUUUGGCACCUCGAUGUCGGCUCAUCACAUCCUGGGGCUGAAGUAGGUCCCAAGGGUAUGGCUGUUCGCCAUUUAAAGUGGUACGCGAGCUGGGUUUAGAACGUCGUGAGACAGUUCGGUCCCUAUCUGCCGUGGGCGCUGGAGAACUGAGGGGGGCUGCUCCUAGUACGAGAGGACCGGAGUGGACGCAUCACUGGUGUUCGGGUUGUCAUGCCAAUGGCACUGCCCGGUAGCUAAAUGCGGAAGAGAUAAGUGCUGAAAGCAUCUAAGCACGAAACUUGCCCCGAGAUGAGUUCUCCCUGACUCCUUGAGAGUCCUGAAGGAACGUUGAAG
rnacentral:rRNA from 1 species